AUUGAACGCUGGCGGCAGGCCUAACACAUGCAAGUCGAGCGGAGCGGCGGACGGGUGAGUAAUGCCUAGGAAUCUGCCUGGUAGUGGGGGAUAACGUCCGGAAACGGGCGCUAAUACCGCAUACUAUCAGAUGAGCCUAGGUCGGAUUAGCGUGUUGGUGGGGUAACGGCUCACCAAGGCGACGAUCCCUAGCUGGUCCGAGAGGUUGACCGGCCACACUGGAACUGAGACACGGUCAAGACUCCGACGGGAGGCAGCAGUGGGGAAUAUUGCACAAUGGGCGAAAGCCUGAUGCAGCCAUGCCGCGUGUAUGAAGAAGGCCUUCGGGUUGUAAAGUACUUUCAGCGGGGAGGCGUUACCCGCAGAAGAAGCACCGGCUAACUCCGUGCCAGCAGCCGCGGUAAUUC
rnacentral:rRNA from 1 species